ACAGAAAUGGCUGAGUGGUUAUAGCUAUAAAUUGCUACAUUUAUGUAGAUAUUAUAUAUACCAGGGUUCGAAUCCCUUUUCCCUAUA
rnacentral:tRNA from 1 species